rnacentral:lncRNA from 1 species
AGCAGUUGUUGCUGGGGGGACCCGGAGAGGCCACCGAGACCACCGUACACACCGCAAACACUCUACAAACGUCUAUCCUCUCACAGCUAGUGCCCUGAGUGGGACUCGAACUCAGGAGUUCCUGAAUCCCAGGCCAGAGCUCCGUCCCCUCCAUGGCCUCCGACGACGGGGGUGCUGUUAGCAGGGCCACACAGGAAGCCUUGCCAGGUGGGCGUCACCCACCAGGGCGGGCCCUCUCCUGGCACGGGCGUGGGGAGCCCCGGGCGAUCCAGCCACAGCCGAGGGGCUUCGGAAAAGCGUGUGACAGACGGCUAACAGUGUCCCCGUAGGGGGAGGGAGGCGCCAGGUCUACGUCUAGACACCGGGACGUCAGCCCUACCUGGACUCCCAGCCAUCGCUUACACCCGGAAUCCCCGGGAAGCCAACAAGGAAGCAGGCUCCUCGCCCGCCUCCCCGGGCUGUGGGAGAGUCCAUGCUCUGCUUCCCGGGGGCACCGCAGUGUGAGUUACGUUCAGAGCAGCCUCUCCAUUCAGGGGAGACUUAACAGAAGGCCCGACUCGGGCGUGAGCCCCGACCUGCCAUUGUGGACGGGAGAGCCAUGUCUGUGAAGGGCAGACGCUGCCCUGGAGGAGGGGCUUCCUAGAACAUCAGCCUGGCCCAAAGAAGUCCAGGAAGCCCAGGCAAGCCAGUCACACGUCCGCAUCCUCCCAAAGGGGCUCCUGAGGAGGGAGACAAGGAUCCAGAGCAGCGACCCAAAGCCGAGGUCUCCUCCAGUGGACUCGAGAGAGAACCGUCCCGGCCUGCCUACACCGGCAUGCACACCGCACAGCCUGGACACGUUGGAACAAUCGCUUUAGCAGGAGGAAAUGUAAACACCAGCUCGAAUCCUCUGGCAAUUUGGAACAAGUCAGGACCAGCUCGCUCAUCAGCUUUGCCUCCCAAACUCUGACAACUCUGGGUGUCACGAGAAUUCGGGAAUGGAGCUUUUUGCUGAUUGUCCGUGAAAUAAAGUCUUUUGCUGCUCUUGAGGGUUGUGUGGAAAGCUUGUCCCAGGGACAAGAGAGCCGCGCUUCCUGCAGGCUGAUUCAGACUUGGACUUCUUUGAUUUAUAGAACUCCCACUGAAGAAACUAUCUACAAAGGUAGGGUGUUUUGCUUUUCUUACUUUUAUUGAUGUGGUUUUUGCAUAUUUUAAGCAUUUACAGAUUACUCCCAUUUUAUGAAAAGUCUCCUGUAACAGAGUAAAACAGUUAAGUAAAACCCAUAAUUCAAUGACCUCGUCCAAAAGUGCAUGCAACAUUCCCAAUUCUCUCCUUUUACAAAUAUUAACAGAAAUCUAUUUCCUUUCCCUUCUAUUCCAGUGCAUUAGAAAAGAAUGAAAAUGGAGGGAACAUACUAAGUUUUGGACACAAAUAUGCCGAGUUUGGCAAGAUAAAUCC